UAUCGUUCACCUCGCUACCGCGGGGCGCAGCUCGAUCCAAGCCAUGGAACGGGGGCUUGGG
rfam:Synechococcus sp. KORDI-100, complete genome.